GCGUAAUAGCUCACUGGUCGAGUCGGCCUGCGCGGAAGAUGUAACGGGGCUAAACCAUGCACCGAAGCUGCGGCAGCGACACUAUGUGUUGUUGGGUAGGGGAGCGUUCUGUAAGCCGUUGAAGGUGUGCUGUGAGGCAUGCUGGAGGUAUCAGAAGUGCGAAUGCUGACAUAAGUAACGAUAAUGCGGGUGAAAAACCCGCACGCCGGAAGACCAAGGGUUCCUGUCCAACGUUAAUCGGGGCAGGGUGAGUCGACCCCUAAGGCGAGGCCGAAAGGCGUAGUCGAUGGGAAACAGGUUAAUAUUCCUGUACUUGGUGUUACUGCGAAGGGGGGACGGAGAAGGCUAUGUUAGCCGGGCGACGGUUGUCCCGGUUUAAGCAUGUAGGCGGAGGUUCCAGGUAAAUCCGGUACCUUUUUAACGCUGAGGUGUGAUGACGAGGCACUACGGUGCUGAAGUAACAAAUGCCCUGCUUCCAGGAAAAGCCUCUAAGCAUCAGGUAACACGAAAUCGUACCCCAAACCGACACAGGUGGUCAGGUAGAGAAUACCAAGGCGCUUGAGAGAACUCGGGUGAAGGAACUAGGCAAAAUGGUGCCGUAACUUCGGGAGAAGGCACGCUGAUAUGUAGGUGAAGUGGUUUACCCAUGGAGCUGAAAUCAGUCGAAGAUACCAGCUGGCUGCAACUGUUUAUUAAAAACACAGCACUGUGCAAACACGAAAGUGGACGUAUACGGUGUGACGCCUGCCCGGUGCCGGAAGGUUAAUUGAUGGG
rnacentral:rRNA from 1 species